GGGGGCGAAACGGCUUCGACGGAGAUAAAGAAGUUCUGGCUGCAUACCGAGAUCCUGUCUGCUCGUAAAAAAGGCGGGGAACUAAUAUAAUCGCAGACGAUUAUAAUUACGCUUUAGCCGCUUAGGCUAACGUUCUACCGGAUUAUUCCUGCGCAUCCGGCAAGGGCGACGAUUAGCAGGAUAGCUUUUCCUGAUUUCUUGUUUCAGGAUUAGCGAAACUUAAACAGGAUAGUCUUUUUAAGUAUCCGGCCUGGAGGAGACUUGAACAGGCGAAAGCUAAAAUUCAGGCUAAGUAUGUAGAUGCCCGUACGGAAUAUUUUCGGACGCGGGUUCGACUCCCGCCGCCUCCACCA
rnacentral:sRNA from 1 species